GCUCACGUGGCGGAAUUGGUAGACGCGCUAGAUUCAGGUUCUAGUCGACGCAAGUCGGUGAAGGUUCAAGUCCUUUCGUGAGCA
rnacentral:tRNA from 1 species